GCUCCCUUAGCUCAGCUGGAUAGAGCAACUGCCUUCUAAGCAGUGGGCCGCAAGUUCGAAUCUUGCAGGGAGCG
rnacentral:tRNA from 8 species